GCAGUUUCGCGGGAAGUCGGCCCGGCGGAGGGCAGAGCCCUGGGCGUGGAGGAAGCUGGAGCCAGGGGAGACUGGCAGGAAAGGAUCACGUGGGCCAGCGAGAGGAGAGCCUGGACAGGGGCCAGCAAAGGGCGAACUUCUGCAGACGAGGACUAUCCAGCCCUAGGGGUACGGGAGAGGGAAAGACGAGGCCGAGAGGGACCCUGACUUUGCAGCAGGGUGUCUGGGCAUUGGUGGCUCCACCUGCAGAACCAAAAGAAUCCACCAGGUCUGAUGGGCAAAGGUUCCUCCUCCCCUGCUGCAGCUAACAUGGAGGACUUGCAUGGAGAUGGUGGAGUCACAGGAUGAACACAGGCUAAGUCACUACCUGGAGGACAGCUGCCUGGACAGUCACCUGGAUCGCAGUGGACUGCAUGAAUGAAAACAAAGUUUCCUUUUUUGGUAUAGGCAGUUUGCCAACCCCCUACAUUCUCAGUCUGAUUUCCUCAUCCCAGUCACCAUGGGAGGCAACUGCUACUGAUCAUUGCACAGACAAGGAAAUUCAGGUCACAGCAAUGAGAGCCAGAGAGUCAAUUCGGCAAGUUUGUUCCCAGGUUCUUGGGGCUUGAAAAGAUCCCUUUAUGGAGUGAAGCCACUUUUUCUCAACGUUCUGAAACUCACGCUGCUCCAGCCUGAGGCUUCCAGAAGUGCCCUACAGGUGCCUGAGUGUGUGGGCCUGCUGCCUGCAAGUGCACCCGGGGAGUGCGGGGUUUGGCGUUUACAGAUGUGACCAGGGGCUAAGAGACUGGGGCGCAGCCUCUCCCCAACACGGACUCUAUUUCCCCACACGCUCACUUCCCCUCCCUCAACUGCAGUCUUCUUUCUCUAUAACUAACACAGGGAUCACUGCCUCUAUUUUCUUAGAGGUAUUGUUCAUCGCUCACCCCUCACGCAAACAGCAACCAAGAAGACUACAUUUCCCAGACUCCUGCGCAGCUUAGUGUGGCCAUCUGGCCAAAUUCUGGUCAGAAGGUGGAAGUGUUAAGUACAGCAUGGAUCUUUCAGGAAGGCUUUCUUUAAGAGAGUUGAAUCAGGUGUGAGGUAUGCUCUUUUUUUCCUGUCUGUUUCUCUUUCCUUCUGCUUCGAGCAUGGACAUAAUGCUGGAGCUUCAGCAGCCAUCUUAGACCAUAAGGUGACUUUCAAGAGGAAAGCCACAUGCUGAAGGAAGAUGGCACAGGAGGAAGAUAGGAGCCUAGGCCACUGAGGACAGAGGGAGCAGUGCUUUAAUACCUACCUCUAGACUUCCUUUAUGUGACAGAGAAGUAAACUGAUCUUCUUUAAGUUAAAGUUAUGUUGAGUUUUUAGUUAUAUGAGAACAAAUCUAGGUCGGGUGCUGUGGCUCACGCCUCUAAUCCCAGCACUUUGGGAGGCUGAGGCAGGCAGAUCACUUGAGGUCAGGAGUUCGAGACCAGCCUGGCCAACAUGGUGAAACCCCAAUCUCAACUCAAAAUUAGCCAGGCAUGGUGGCGUGCGCCAGAAAUCCCACUAUUCGAUAGGAUGAGGCAGGAGAACUGCUUGAACCUGGGAGGUGUAGGUUGCAGUGCGCUGAAAUCACGCCAUUGCACUCCAGCCUGGGUGGCAGAACAAGACUCCAUCUCAAAAAAAAAAAAAAAAAAAGAAAAAAAGAAAGAAAGAAAAGAAAACAAAUCUAACCCUAAAUGUUAUGUUAGGGUAAAAUUGAUUUUUUAAAAAAGUCAUUUUUCAAACUCUGUUAGCACCUUUUUACCCAUGUUAGUCCAUCUGCUAAAAUGAACAUCAGUAUUUGAAAAGGUGUACAUCAAGCUUGUCCAACCCGUGGCCCACAGGCUGCAUGUGGCCCAGGAUGGCUUUGAAUGUGGCCUAACACAAAUUCGUGAACUUUCUUAAAACAUUAUGAGAUUUUGUGUGUGUGUGUGUGUGUGUGUGUGUGUGUGUGUGUUAGCUCAUCAGCUAUCAUAGUGUUAGAGUAUUUUAUGUGUGGCCCAAGACAAUUCUUCUUCUUUCAAUGUGACCCAGGGAAACCAAAAGGUUGGAUACCCCUGGACUGUACCUAAUUAUUUCUUGUGCUCAGCAAGGUUAAGCAACUUGCCUAAAGUCACCCAG
rnacentral:lncRNA from 1 species